GCGGCAACCAAACACAAGAUUAGAGAGAAAACUGUACCUUGUGGUCAUUGAUACGAAGGAACAAAAGCAAAAGGUCUCAUCUCCUCUCUUCUCCUGUGUUCUUGGCAUUGCAAGGGCUUGGAGGAGUUCUUCCAUCGUUGGACUGAUUGUGGAAGAUUUUUGGUCUGUGAGUUUUCUGACAACUCGAAGAACAGGUUUU